CACCAUAGACAUGGUGAAACUAGAUUAAAAAUGGAAGAAGAAUGGAAGAGCAAACCCUAGAAAAGAUGAAAGAGAGCCUAAGCAUCCAAGAGAUCCUCUCCAGAGAGCAAAAUUAGGUCUGGCCGUUCUCCCCUGUCAAAAGAAUGACUCUGAAUUCAUAAUAGGGGUAUUUAUAGGUGAGGAGCGCAUAAAAAAUAGGCCCAAGUCCAGCGUGCCACCGCCGGGCGGUUUAAGUGUGCCGCUGGGCGGUGCGUCAACUCUUCAAAACUUCAUUUUCUGCUCUUUUCUUGAAUCAACGACCUGGGCAGUGCUUAAAAUUUUUCUUCCCCAUUUUCUUGUUUGCCGCCUUGUGGUUUCCCUUGGUGACCCCUGAUCUA
rnacentral:lncRNA from 1 species